rnacentral:rRNA from 1 species
UGCCAGCCGCCGCGGUAAUACGAAGGGGGCUAGCGUUGUCCGGAAUUACUGGGCGUAAAGCGCACGUAGGCGGACUUUUAAGUCAGAUGUGAAAUCCCGGGGCUCAACCCGGAAAUGGCUUUUGGAACUGGCAGACUAGAGACCGGUAGAGGAUAGUGGAAUUCCCCGUGUAGAGGUGAAAUUCGUAGAUAUGGGGAGGAACACCAGAGGCGAAGGCGGCUAUCUGGACCGGUACUGACGCUGAGGCGCGAAAGCGUGGGGAGCAAACAGGAUUAGAUA